rnacentral:piRNA from 1 species
GCCUUGAAAUAUGACAGCUUCAGUGUUGA